CUAGGGCAUGCGGGCUUCAGUAGCUGUGGCACAGAGGCUUGGUUGCCCCGCAGCAUGUGGGAGCUUCCCAGACCAGGAAUUGAACCUGUGCCCCCUGCAUUGGCAAGCAGAUUCUUAACUACUAACUAUAGAACUUAGAAACUGGUAGAACUUAGAAAUGUUUCUGAAGGCUAGACAGUCUGGGCCCUAAUCUGCACUGUGAUUAAAAUUCAACCGCAUGCCUCUCGCUGGGAAACGCUGCGGUGGGGCCAUCAGCGCCCGCCACGCAGCUGCCUCCCGCUCUUCAAACGGGGCCCUGUGAGCACAAGGUCCUUGCGUCAGCUUCCUGGGCUUUGUGAGCCCUUCAGAUCGUAGGCAGACAUCUGAGUGUCUGUGCUCUGGACAUUUUUCUGGAGAGAGGCUCACAGCUUUAAUCGAUUUACAAAGAGCUGCAGGACGUGAAAGGUUGAGAGUCGUUGGCUAAAAGCAUCAGGAAUCCGGACUCCAGAGAAAUCAGAUCUUCGCAACCAGUUGCUAAGCGUCUUUGCAGCAUUUACAGACAGAGAGGGGUUGGGCUCCUGUUCCCUGGGUUUAUGCGUGUAUUUUUUUUUCAGUGUGAAAGAACUUCAAAGCUGCAGGAUCUAAGUUCCUCCAGGAAAUGGAGGAAUUUGGGGGCAGUGAAAGCUGUGUGUGCCCGUGUGAGAAGACUGGGCCAAGAGGGCACCCCUGGGGGUGCAGAGACAGUGCCCAUGGGAGUCCGUGGGUGCACAGCAGCCACCCAGCUCUGGUGCGUGCAUAGGAACAAGUGUGCGCAGGCCAGAGAGGUCCCUGACCUUCCACCCCUGUGCACCACCACCCCCUCCCGCUCCACUGCAGGAAGUCUGAUGGGGCUGGGGUGCAACUCUGCAUUUUCACCUUGACCUCUGCCCCCUCCCAGGCCGCAGCCCCUCACACCCACCAGCGGGCACAUUCACAUGAACAUGUGGCCACGGGCACAGUCCUGGGCCCCUGUCUUGGGUGUGGCCCUGGUCCCCGCAUCUUCUCUCUUCUCUGCCCAGACAGCCUCACCCCAAACACUGAUGUCUUCUCAGGAAGGCCUUCCUCUGCCCUUCCUCUGUCCUGUCAAUAGGGAGAAAAAGCUGGGCUUCUCCAGAGACUCACGCAACCCAGCCCACCCGCCACCAUAGAGCCCCCUCCCCAACCCAACAGUGGUCUAGAUGUCCUGGGUCAGCUUGUGCCCAGUCUUGUGGGCCUGGCCGAGCGGGCCAAGAAAGAGAGGGACAGGAGGGGUAGGGGGCUCCUCAUUGUUCUGCCUUGGGAAACCCCUCUCCCAGCCCUGCACAGAGGCUAGAGUCGCUUUUGGUGAAGGCCUUCCAGCAGGCGCCCUGGGUUCAAAUCCUGCCUUAAUUCUGGCUCAGCAGCCUGGCCUCCAGGAGGAGACGUUUUGGAUUAUCUUCCUCUCUUCUCACCCCACACAGAAGGGAAAAUCUUCGGCUUUCUUGAAAGAUCUGAAUCCCUUCCAAGCGGGUGCCUUCUAUGCAUCUAUAAAAUGGGGAUGUUAAUAGGGCCGCCCCACAGGGAGGUUCUGAAGAUUAAUUCUGGGGAAGGGUGAAACACACACUAACUUAUUAGUCAUUAUUACCAGCCUGAUCUGUUGGCAAAGACGGUUCUCAAUCAAUUGUGCACCAAGGGACGUCUUGCAGUGUCCAGACACAUUUUGGUUGGUGAAACCUGCCGGGGAGGGGGAGACUGGCCUCUAGCUGAUUGAGACAGGAAUGUCGCUAACACUGUACAGAGCACAGGACGCCCCUGUGCAGCGAGCAUGCAGUUUGAGAGGCAAAUUCUACAGAGGCUGGGAAUUCCGGGCCAGGAGCUCACCUUCCUCUUGAAGACAAUGAGAUGAUGAUGAGCUGAAGCAGAGGAUGACAUAAGGAAAUCUAAGUUCUAGAGAGAAAAUUCCAGCAAAGUUGCAUCAUGAUCACAGAGCUCAGUUAGGGGCCUGCGGACCUGCAGAUCAGCAAGGUGCUUUGAGGGUAGCCUGGGGUGGUGGGGAGGCCAGGGAGGGACCUAGAGAACUGGCCGGGACUGGGAGGGAGGGCCCACUGGGGCCAGGGGGUGCUGAAGCUUCUAGUUUGUAGGACUGGGCGGGGAAAGACUAUUUAGCCUCCAGGAGUCCUAGUUGGGACGAAAGUCCCUCCAGCAACCUGGACGUCAGCAGUAUCCCUUCCACACCAGUGUCCUGACUCCUCCCCCAGGACAGAGACCCUUUCCCCUCCAUACCCCGGGGCCAGAGAAGUGGGCAUCUGAUUUCUUCCCCUUCUCCCUAGAGCCCCUUGAAUGGAUGGAGACAGAGCCCCUCCGCAGACAGAAGAGGAGGAGAGCUCUGGGCCUGGAGGCCAGUGCCCUCUGCAGUUUCCCAGGGACCGGAGCCCAUGCCUGCUAGAGACAGAGGGCGGACACGGAGCCUAGGUGGGCUUGAUCAGCAUGCAGACUGAGCCUCCUUUAGCCCAUUUCCCUGCCCCUUUGCACAGGCUCUGAAGACAAGUUACAGGACAUGAGAAGAAACCCCAGGUGGCCUCCCCAUCAGCAGGUGAGCGGGUAGAGUCCUGACCAGAGUGCCAGAGCAGUUUAAGAUGUCACUUCAUCCGGAGGGCAGAGGACAAGCAGGAGACCAACAGAGGCCCAGUUGGUCCAAGGAGCACUGGGUAAGGACCAGACCAGAGCUCCAGCCCAUGCGCCUGGGGCCUGAAGCAGUUUCCUCAUCCACGCUGCAUAUGAAAUGACCCCUGACUGUCCGGGUUAAGGACGGCGGUAGCACUUCUGCCUGGAACACUGUAUUGAGAAGGAUUUUCUGAGGCUGUGGUUAAUUCGUGAUGCCCGUGGGGAGAGCCAGAGGUUGCUUGUCAAUGUCUUGUUACUUCUCUACCAUCCUGAUGAAGAGCAACAGACAGGGGUCAUUUGUCAGGGUUCUUCCAGCUCACAAAUCCUACCAGCCUAUGAUUUCGAAGUUAAAAUUUCCAGGCACUGGCUGGAAGCACCGGAAGUCAGAGGAGGAAGAGAUGUGAGUGGGUUAGAACCUCAGGGAAGGCUUUGGGGAGGAGGCGGCACUCCACGAGGCCGUGCGGGUGCCACGUGCUUGUUGUGCAGGAGGUGGGAGGACGUUUAUGGGCAAGAAAAUGGGGCUGAGCAGAGGCUGUUCAUGGUACAGGAAGGAGGAGGCCAGCAUCGCUGGAACAUGCUGUCUCUGUCUCGGACAAACAGAAUCAGACGUGUGAGGUCGUGGUGGUGCCUGAAAACCAGAACUGACUCCGUGGGAAGACUCAGAACCAGAUGCUCCAGCACCGUUAUCCCAGGGGCCUCGCCCACACCCCCAGGGCGGUGGAGAUUCUCUGAGGUCCAGAAGGAGGGCAGGGACAGCUGCAUCCCAGGAAGGAAGACUUGCUGGAGGAGACGAACCACACAAUGGCUUCCAGCCAGGGAUGCCUGCAUGAGCACUGAGGGCCAGGGUCCCGGCUCCUGCCUGCUUCCCCCAAACCCUAUCUAGCCUGUUGGAUUAUGUCCCUGAGCUGCAGAGAAGGCAGGAGGGCCUGGGGACUCUGUGUGACGGUGGAACAGAUCCUGGCCCUGCUGUUUGGUGGGCACUUCUGUCCUUCUUCCUCCUUCUCCACCUCUCCUAUCCCUGCCUCCCCUCCCGGAUCUCCCCAGCUUUUGCUCAACAGGACCCAGAAAGUUCUGUUGUGUGUCUCUCACCACUAGGCACCCAGGCAGAAGAGAGGAUGGUGUCUUCUCCUCUGGGGAGUGUCCGUCUCCACCUGGGUCUGUCGGCCUGGCUCAGAACAGCGUGGGAACCCCUGUCCUUCUCACGGCCUCCUUCUCUGAUCCCUACCUGGCUUUUUCUCAGCGGGUCCCGCUCAUCUCAGGACCCCUCGAGGUCUUUCCUCUGGCUUUGCCGCCUGGGCUCAAAGCCGGCUCUGGCUCCUGUGAAAUUUCCUCGCAUGGAGGAAGGGGCCGGAGGUAGCAAUGAGGCUCCUGCAAACCCCCAACCAGCUCUCCCCCACCAUGCUCCCUGCCACCCCCAGCUUUCCUCCCCAGCUCUCCCCACCCCCCAAGUCUCUUGUCCACAGCAUAUCUGGCCCCCGCAUAGGCCACAGGGCGAGAGUGGCCAAUCUCACAGUUAGAACAGUCAUCCUCAGCUCCCCAUCCCCUGUCCCCUGUCCCUUCCUCUCCUGGGGAGUCGCCUCCAAAAAACACCCCUCCUCACUUGCCCACCUUUUCCAGAGCAUCCAACCCCCGCACCUGAGGCACAAGAAAGACCACUUUCCUCCAGUAGGGAGUAAUGGACAGCAACCCUGGGCCCUCCCGGGGCCCCCAGCUGCCCCCACAGAGGCCAGUGCAAGGCCCUUGACUCCCCCAGCACCCCCAGGGUCCCCGAGCACUGCUUUCUCCCAGGGUCCAGGGCCCGCGUCCCUCCCUGGGCCAAGCCACCAGCACCCAACCCUCCCCACUCUGUUUACACAAUCGCUUCAGGCCUUAUCUGGGCCCCUGACAGGACUGUGUUGUGAUAAGCAAAUGGGCUCUGGUGUCAGAGACAGGAAACUCAAAUCUGUAUCCCUCAGCCUGGAGACUGAGGCGAUAAGACAGCAGCCUGGGAGCUGGCUGUGACCUCACCUGGGGCCUGGGCAGACACAGAGUCAGAGGGCACCCUGUGGGGCGGGGCAGGCGGGGGGAGGGGGGGGCGGGGGUGCGGCUUUCUUCCCCCAGCCCCGCCUGGUGCUGGACUAACAGGAAGGAAAGGAAGGCCUCCCCAUGGGGCCUGUGAAGAGACCUAGAGCCCUUUCCAGUGGGAACAGAUGUCCCAGUGCUAUUUCCUCAGGGCGCCGCUGCCUGGCCGGCAAGUAGGAAGGACUGGAGCCACUAGGGGGAAGGUGGGCACCAUCCAUUCCGGCCCAUCGGACCCCGUUGUCUGUAGAACAGAGGCCCCGUUACAUAAGCGCCAGCUGACUUGGUAGAAGCUAUGACUAAGAAAACUUUCCAAAGACAGUUGGUGGCCCUCCACCCCCUCCAAGGGGUGAGAACUCCCCCCCACAGAGAGGGGGCAGAGAUUAGGGCUCCUCACUAGCUCCCUGGCCCUGACUCAUCACACACACAAACACUCCCCAACACUCUUUCCCAAAACGGUUCCCACCCACCAGUCCACCCUCCCACCGGGGCUGGUGACAAAACGAACGCCCCAGAGAUCUUGCCAAGUUCUGGGCCAGGCUGAGCCCAGGGAACAUGAAAUUCCCCGUGGAGUAGGAGGCCAGAUGCCCACGGAAGCCAAUAACGUCCAUUCAAGGGACGGCCACCUCCGAACCCCACCAAGUUGGCUGUGUGGUUUCUCAAGUAGCCGGGACAACUCUCCUUCCAAGAAGUUCAUAUUAGCUUGUAAAGGGGUCUUCAAGACCACCCUUCCCCUUCCCUGCCCUCCUCGUUUACAGAGAGUUACCCACCCAUGCUGCAGCCCAUGGGGCCACAGAUGAGCAAGCAACAACCACCACCCAUCCCCAGCUGGAUCCAUCUUUUCCAUCACCAGUCGUUACCAGGCUCCUGCCAUGUGCCAUGAAUAGUCCAGGCAACGGAGACCUGAAGACCAGUCCUUGCUCAAGGAGCUCAUCACCACAUCGGUGAGACAGGCCAGGAGGCAGCUGCGGCCAAACACUAAGUAGGGACGUGGGGGGAGAAGGCAGGUUCCAGAAGCAGCAGAUGCGGGGUGGGAUGGGGGGUGGGUUCACGGAAACUUACUGGGAGAAAUGACAUCUAAGCUGACAUGGGCAAAAGAGGGACAUCCUGUUUCAUUCACUAAGGGUCUGCUUGGCACAUAGUGUGGCCAGAGCAGGGCCAGGCAGGCUUCGUGAAGACGAGUCAGGAUCAUGUCCACCACUGGAGCUGGUCACCUGGCAGGGGACAUAAGAUGAAAGGAGGCAUGUGUGAGGCAUCACCCAAGGGAAAGGUCAGUGAGGCCCAGGGCGGGCCCAGGAGAGGACAAAAGGAGGGAUGUGCAGGUGGGAAGACCAGAAAAAGCUCCAGGGAAGGAAUGGAAUUUGGGUUCACGGUGGGGGUGGAUGGAAUUUAGAGGUACAGACGAGGUGGGGCACAUUGCAAGCCAACCUGACACCAGCAAAGUUUAAGAGCCAGUGAUGUCUGGGGGACAAGAAUAGCAGUGACUGGCAGUACGAAAGACGACCGGAUGGUGGUGGGUGUGGCUUGAACACAAAUCGAGGGAAGCCUUGUAACAGGUGGUUCAGAAUUUAAGGCGAGGACCAGAGGGGCUAAGGAAUUCUCUCGGUGUCACUGAAUUAGUAGAAAAGCAAUCUGAGUUCAACUUCAGCACUCCUUCCACAGGCCCGAGGCUGGGAGGUGCCCCCUCCCAGGCUUUGGGCCCCUCCCCAUGGCCCACUGACCUCUCCCCUGCCAGAGGGGCACUCCCCGCUCCUGGCUGGUAGACCCCAGGCUGUCAAUGCAGGCUGCCCUGUUCUUAGUCCUGCAUUUUUAGAUGGGUAUGGAAAUGCUCUUAAACAGGGGACAAACGUCAUCUCGAGGCCUGGAUGAAGGACUAGCCCAGUGCAGUCCAGCCUGAAAUACCUGGAAUUCUCCCAGCUGGCCCAGAGCCUCUUCCUCACCCCAUCCAGAUUGCGGACCCGUGGGUUUCAGGGUUAACCCUGUUUGGUUCUGUGCCGCGUGCAUGUGGGUCCCCAGAACUCCCUGUGAACAGUGGGCCUGGGUUGGAAGCCCCCACUGUGGCGUUAGGGCUGUGAUGGUGAGAGCGGCCACGAGGUGGCGCCAUGAGCCUGGCGCCCGGCUGGUCCGCUAGCGGCUGACACCUGCUGUCCGGGAGGCGGCGGGGCGGCUGUCCCGAGGCCGCCACGGCGGGUUGGCCGGGGAGAACCAGACCUGGGCUGCUCUCAGCCCCCUCCUCUCCUUUGUCAGCCAUCUAGGACCACGCGAUUGGAUCUUGCUCAGUGGGAGAACAGCGUGCGGGGCGGGGUGUGCGGUGUGCUGGAGGAGGGAUGUGUGUGUGUCCUUGGAGUUUGAGAGUGGGGGUGGGGCAAGGUCAAAGAUGCCUUUUUUCUUAGCCUGAUAAGCUUCUUGGAAACAAACGCCAAACCCUGGAUAUCUGCUGCUGCCGCAGAUCGGACAUUUGAAGGGGCUAUCCUGUGAGGGUUUGGAUGCGUCUAAUAAGCUUCCUCUCUUGUUUUUCAUCCAGAACCAAGCCUUCCCAAAGUCCACGCUUCGCCCACCUCAGUUUGUUUCUGUGGUUAAAUAUGCAUUUCUACAAAUGUCAUUUUCCAGACCCCCCUCUCAACAGCUUUCUGCAAAACACAGCUCAGACACACAUCUGUGCACACAGGUCCGUCCUCCUGCCAGCCCCGAGUCCCCCCCACACACACACAUCACCCCCACACGCUUCUCACACGGGGCUCCUCACGGAGUUCGUGCACAUUAUCUCACAGGCAUCGCUCUUCGUGGGAAGGUAGAUGCGUGGCCAGUGUGUGUGCACGUGAACGCACACGUGGACACGCACACUCACACACGCACACACCCUGAGACAGCAGACACAGGGUGAUGCUGACCCCCACCCAAGGUGAGCUGCACACCCUUUGACCUUGGGUGGGAGAUUUGUUUCCAUCUCACACAGGCUGGCUCGGAGCUCAGCACAGGGAGCUGGACCUGGACGUGGAGCAGAAACAGGACGGUCUGUCCUCAGCUCUGAGGAGAGGGAGUCGGAGUUUGGAAUCUUCUGUGAGGUCAGCCAACGGUCAGGGAGUUUGUUGAUACAAGAACAAAAGUUACACUAGCGUGGAGCUGAAGCUGUGGGUGUUCAUAAAAGGGAAAGACCCACGAGAGGAGGGAAGGACCCGCGAGAGGAGGCAAGGACCAAACCACAGAGAUAAUCACAGAACCGAAGACCGAAGACCCAGUUAGUCUCAUGAAAGAACUAGGAAAACAAACCCAGGGAACUGAGAGGAUUUAACCCAGGACUGACGACUCGGUGGAUGACUCUGGGGUCCUUGCGCCCAGCCCAGACCAGCCCUGGAAGAUGGUGGCUCAUCUGCUCCUAGAGGAAGGGAAAGAGGAGGGGGAUGGGAAGAGGAGGGUGGGGAGGGGACAAAAGAAAAGAGCUGGAAAGAUUUGAACUUCUGACCUUGGCUGGGGCAGAGCCAGGAUAACGGAGGACCCCAGCCUCCUCCCAGGUGAGUAGGAAUCAGACCCUGGGGUGAUGAGGAUUUGUGUGGAGGAGUGUGCUCCCUGGGAUAGUCAGAGGAUGGUGAGCAGUCAGGGAAGGGAGGGAAAGUGUGCCUUUCAGGCAAAGCCCCACCCCCAGCCUUAGUGGACCCUGGAGCAAAAGCCAGGAAGCCAGAAGGGGCAGGCUUCAUUCUCCUGCAACAGAAGCCCCUCCCCACCGGGGACGGGCUGACUCCCAGGCACUGGGUUCCCUGAGCAGGUGGAGAGUGGCCUGGAGGCUCCAGGCAGCCACCACCGGAGGGAGGAACCGAAGAGGGGGAGGACGGAGCCGGCACCCCCUACUACUCACAGAAAGCACCUGGCAUCAGACUGAAAUGUUUCUUCCCUUUCGGAGUUUACAGUCCAGAAGAAAGACAAUUGCAUACCAUUCACACCUAUGUAAAUAAUGAUAAGCUAUGGCUCAGUGGGUAAAGAAUCUGCCUGCAAUGCGAGAGACACAGAAGACUCAGUUUCGAUCCCUGGGUCAGAGAGAUUCCCUAGAGGAGGAAAUGGCAACUCACUCCAGUAUGCUUGCCUAGAGAAUCCCCUGCCCAGAGAUACCGCCAAGAUGCUUUGGAACACGGGAACUCCUGGAAGAAGGAAACUGUGCCCAAAUUAUCUCUGGUUCUUCGCUCAGUUCCGGGGACAAACACAGUAUGAGAGUGACGUUUGCUGGACUGGAUGGAUAGUUAAAUGAUGGAAGGUGAUCAUCAAAGGUUAUGCAGGUCUUUUCACAUCUCCAGGAAGAGUUCCUCAAUCAUUCCAAACACACAGGUGUCCUUCUGGGAGGUGAUGGGGAGUGUUGCUUAUCAGCCUCCCGCGCCCCAUCCCUCUUCUCGCCCAAGCCCUGCUUCUCCACUUACUCAGAGAAGGCGCUGUGGCUGACACCCUGAGCCCUGACCGGGAGCUGGCGUCCGUCAUCCUUAAGGCCCUCAUCCUGGGAGAAGCCAAUCCCAUGCCAGGCUUUCAUGUGGGCAUGUCACAGUUUGUCCUUGGUGGUGGUGGUGGUGUCAUGGCUCCCUGUGCGCCAGUGAACAAAGAGGCCCUGGGUGAUGCUGACCGCAGGCAGAGGGGAGAGGCUUCCUCUCUCACCCACGGCACAUGUGAUUCCUUUGCUUAAACACACACCCCACGCUGACACACUCUGGCUUCUGACACUCAGCCUCCUUUGGGUGAAACAUGAAAGGCCUGCUAAAUAGCUUCUUACAAAGUUUCUCUCUAGGAAGCUACUUUAAGCCCAAACUUGGACAUUCAUAUGACCUUUUUCAAGUGAACCACUACAAUGGAGCUGCUGCUGCUAAGUUGCUUCAGUCGUGUCCAACUCUGCGACCCCAUAGACGGCAGCCCCCCAGACUCCUCCGUCCCUGGGGUUCUCCAGGCAAGAACACUGGUGUGGGUUGCCAUUUCCU